ACCGAGGAAGAAUCACCAUAAAGCCAAGUGCAAUUCCACAAAAUAACCAAGGCAAUAUCGUAUGUCCUGAAGACAAUAUCUGUGAGAAAGAGAACAUUGGACCAGCGAAUCCCCAAGAGGUGAGAAAAGGAGAGCCAAGCAUACCAGAUGUCAUUAUCGACCAACUAGAAAUUCAGGCUUCCAAAUUAGCCAUAGAUGCAUCAAACGAGGCAGACGAUCGAAUUCACAUCAGAUCAGACUUAUUGGAGCCAGAAGUCCAAUUAGAAUCUGAUCUAUUCGCAACAUCUCCUCUCGCGAGAGGGUCAGACAGUCAGAUCCAUUUAAAUUCAGGUGACUCAGUGGCCUCGUCCUCAUCAAUGGCUGAGAACUCAUUCUCUUUGUUCUCCGGUUACAAACUUUAUUUAUGUAAAUCAAUAGCAUUUCUUUCUUGCCUAUUUCUAAUAAAGAAUGUUGACAA